UACGGAGGGUGCAAGCGUUAAUCGGAAUUACUGGGCGUAAAGCGUGCGUAGGUGGUUCGUUAAGUCCGUUGUGAAAGCCCCGAGCUCAACUUGGGAAUUGCAGUGGAUACUGGCGAGCUGGAGUGCGGUAGAGGAAGGUGGAAUUCCCGGUGUAGCGGUGAAAUGCGUAGAUAUUGGGAAGAACACCGGUGGCGCAAGCGGCUUGCUGGGCUGUAACUGACGCUGAGGAACGAAAGCUAGGGGAGCAAAUGGG
rnacentral:rRNA from 1 species